GGGGGGGGGGGGGGGGGGGGGGGGGGGGGGGGGGGGGGGGGGGGGGGGGGGGGGGGGGGGGGGGGGGGGGGGGGGGGGGGGGGGGGGGGGGAUGAUGGAGGUGAAUGGAGAGUAGAGGUGGGUGAUGAAGACAGACAGUGAGUGGAUGGGUGGAGGGCUGGAUAACACUGGGAGGGAAGAUGGAGUAAACCACUCUCAGGGAUCUGGGACACAGCAGUUCAAGCUCCCAGCUCCUGGAGCUCCUGGCUCUGUGGCCCUGGCAGCUGUGCCAUUGAAAAGGACAGGGCUGCUGAGCUCUGGGAGGACUCAGACCACCUGCCAGAGCAGAGCCUUGAGCCCAGAGCCCAGAGCCCAGUGUGGCUGUGCCAGGGCAGCCCGGGGCAGGAUCCCAGUGCCCAGCAGCUCCCCUGGCAGCGUGGGGUGCCAGAGCUGGAGCCGUGCUGUCCCCACGGUGACUCCCCGUGCUGUGGCUGUCCCUGUGCCCUGGGCAGGCCGAGAACAUCAUGUUCCUGGAGCUGGACCUGUCCCCCCCGGCCAUCUUCGAGUUCGAGCGCGGCCGGGAGGCGGCGGAGCAGGACCCGCGGGCGCUGCACCUGGAGAGGCUGAUGCACCUGGACAGCCUCCUGGAGAGGCCAGCGGCCUCCCGCGUGCGCAAGUCCCGCUCCUGGUGCCAGACGCCGAGGUCGCUGCCAUCCUCCACCACCCACGUGUCCCUGGCCUCCAGCUCCCCGUGUGCCGCCCCACUGCCGGCCCAGGAGUGACAGCCUGGACACCUGGUCCCGGACUGAGCCCCCGAGGGCCGAGGGGGGCCCGGCCCAGCGGCCCCAGCUCAUCCUCAGCUACUUUGUGUGUGUUUGUGCAGACACGAGCGGCCCCGGGCCAGGGCGGCGGGGGGGGGGGGGGGGGGGGGGGGGGGGGGGGGGGGGGGGGGGGGGGGGGGGGGGGGGGGGGGGGGGGGGGGGGGGGGGGGGGGGGGGGGGGGGGGGGGGGGGGGGGGGGGGGCCCUCCUCCGCCCCCCUGAUCCGGAUCUGUCACUUUAUUUAUUUAACCUAUUUAUUUAUGGAGAGGGUGACACGGGGAGGCAGGGUUUGAGCUGGGGCUGAUGGACACCCAGGCUGGCAGUGGGCACCCAGGCUUGCCCGGCUCCCAGAGCUCCCUGCACAGGGCUGGGCACGGGGACAGCACCAGGACACUGCUCCAGCCGGCAGGACAGGCUCGGGUCCCUCUGCAGGGGCUUUGGCAGGAGCUGGGGCUUCCCUGAGCCCUGCUGCUGCCUUUGCUUUGCUGGGUCCCGGGCAGUUUGAAGAUUUCUGCGUGGAUUGGGACGGUUUGUGGUGGCAGCGCUUGUCAGAGUCCCCCGGCCUGGAUCAGCUCUGGUGGCAGCAGGGACACCUCACCGGCCGCGGGCGUGGCUGUCACUCCAGGAGCACCGGCUCCAUGCGCGGGGCUUGCAGAGUCACCAGACCGAGCCACCCGUGCCCCCCUGUGCCACGCUCCGGGGACAGCCCCCGCGAGGUUCCCACGCCCGGCUCGCUGCCCCCCGGGGGGGGGGGGGGGGGGGGGGGGGGGGGGGGGGGGGGGGGGGGGGGGGGGGGGGGGGGGGGGGGGGGGGGGGGGGGGGGGGGGGGGGGGGGGGGGGGGGGGGGGGGGGGGGGGGGGGGGGGGGGGGGGGGGGGGGGGGGGGGGGGGGGGCCCACGCCCGGCUCGCUGCCCCCCUGCCAGCAGCGGGAGGUGACACGUCCCUUCAGCAGCCCUGCCGAGCCUGGAGCAGCCCUGCCCGCCAGCUCCUGAGAGAGGCUCCGUCCUGCAGCUGCAGGAGCAGAGAAAUGUGCGACGAGGAGGGGACACCCAGGGCAGCCACGGCAUCGCCGUGCCCUGGACAGCGGCACACGGAGGUGGCCUCUGUCGCCUCCCGGUUGGGACAGACUGCCCGGUGGGUUGUGGGUGUGAAGUGGUGAUGGGUGAGGGGGCAGCCACGAGGAUCCCGGGGGUUGGAUCCUGCCCAGCUGCUGCGGCACAGGGGCAGCGCUCGGUGCCCCUGCGGGACACGGAUUUCGGGCGGGGGCAGCUGGUGAAGAGCGGCUGUGCUGUCCCUGGGAUGGUGGAGGUGGGGACUCCCUGAGUGUGAUGAGAGCUGGGUGGGGGGUGACCCUGGCUGUCCCGGGAGGAGAUGGGUCAGCAAGGGCAGGUCAGAGGGGGUUGCAGGCAGGGAAAGUGCUCUGGCACAGAGAAUUCCUUCAGGGAGUGGCUGAGGUUGGGGGGAGCCUGGAGCUCAUGCAGGCCCCUGGAGCAGUUUCUCAGGGCUGUGUCAGAGGGGUUUGGAGUCUCCCCAGGGAAGGGGCUCCAGGACUGUUGUGUGCUGUUGGAGCAGUGCCUGCUCCCCUCCUGCACUCAGCGCAGGGUGAGGGAGGGCAGGGGGCGAGGCACAGGCGUGGAAUGGGAAGCAGGAGCUGUGCCAGGCUCAGAGCCAGGCAGGUGCCACGGCAGCCGUGUCCCCUCCAUCCCCUGCCCUUCCCAGCUGUGCCCAGCACAUCCCUGCACUGCCUCGGGCGUGCCCAGCACAUCCCUGCACUGCCUCGGGGCAUCUCCCCUUCCCAUCGAGCUCUCCACCACUGUCCUCUGCCCCCUUCCCUCCCAGCUGUGCCCCCUAACACCCUCUGUCCCUCCCAAAUCUCUGUCCCCCUCGCCCCAGCCCUGCCCCUGGCUCAGGGACACCUUGGCAAGCUGUGGUUGUUCCGGGACUGAGCUCCCUCCCUCUGUGCUCAGCCUGGCCAGCAGGGGAAGGUGUUUGAGGAGUGACGGGGGGUCCCUUCCAUGGGGUGGGGUCAGGGGUGCCCAUGUGCCCCCCACAGCCAGGGGCGUGUGGGGUCAUCCCCAGAGCGAGCUGGCCCUGCAGAGCCGUCCCUGGCCAGGCUGGAGGUGUCCCUGCCAGGGCGGGGGUGGCACUGGAUGAGCUUUAAAGUCCCUUCCAGCCCAAACCAGUCUGGGAUUCCCUGAUUCUGUGAAACACCGUGGUUGGGAGAGCUGGUUCUUUAUUUAAUGGUUUCCAGGAAAGCACCUGGGGGUCGGGGUCGGGAAGCACAGACUCAGAGUGAGGAGAAGCUUGGGGGGCUGCAGGAAUAGAAUUUCCUCCCUUGAUUGAUUUCUGGGCACUUUCAGUAGAUCAGCAGCUCGUGGAGCCCCAAAGUGAUGAAGCAGUGACCUCCUCUUGCCUCCAUUCUCACCCAGGGAGUGGGAAACAGCUCAGGAGCUCGGGGUGUCCCCAAGCCCGGGUCACCCGGGGCCACAGAGCAUCCCAGGAGGGUGGCAGUGCCCAGGGGAGGGUGGCUGUGCCCCAGGGGAGGGUGGCAGUGCCCAGGAGGGUGGCUGUGCCCAGGAGGGGUGGCUGUGCCCAGGAGGGGGGGGGGGGGGGGGGGGGGGGGGGGGGGGGGGGGGGGGGGGGGGGGGGGGGGGGGGGGGGGGGGGGGGGGGGGGG
rnacentral:lncRNA from 12 species